CGUGCCUAAUACAUGCAAGUCGAGCGGACAGAAGGGAGCUUGCUCCCGGNAUGUUAGCGGCGGACGGGUGAGUAACACGUGGGUAACCUGCCUGUAAGACUGGGAUAACUCCGGGAAACCGGAGCUAAUACCGGAUAGUUCCUUGAACCGCAUGGUUCAAGGAUGAAAGACGGUUUCGGCUGUCACUUACAGAUGGACCCGCGGCGCAUUAGCUAGUUGGUGAGGUAACGGCUCACCAAGGCGACGAUGCGUAGCCGACCUGAGAGGGUGAUCGGCCACACUGGGACUGAGACACGGCCCAGACUCCUACGGGAGGCAGCAGUAGGGAAUCUUCCGCAAUGGACGAAAGUCUGACGGAGCAACGCCGCGUGAGUGAUGAAGGUUUUCGGAUC
rnacentral:rRNA from 1 species